GCCACACCACCCCUAGUGAAAUCCUGGCACCCAGAGAGCACUCCUUUCAGCCAGAGAGCCCAGAACCAGCCGUUGUCCCCUGGCAAAAGAGGCCCAGUGCUGAGCCCUGGGCAUGUGUCUCCAGACAUCGCUACCCCUCCUCCUCUUGUUAGUUUCCCUUCCCAACAGAAACCACUUCUUUUUACCACCAAAACCAGGUUGCAUCCAAAAGUCUCUCACAAGCUUAAAACAGAAAACUGAAAAAUUGAGAACCAUUACAUAGAAGAGCCCACAAAAGCUGCAGCAGCACCAGGGGUGAAGAAGCAGCGUCAGACCCAGGUUGGCAGGACACAGGAAAGAACUCCCCCAAUUCAUGCAAGAGAGAAAAUGAAACUCUCCUCCGGCCUCUAUCAGGGAAGCUAAUUUUUUCCUCCUCUUUCCUGAAAGUUUCCCAAAUCCCAUGACUCUGAUUUCCAGAUCAGAGAGUAAGGUUUUUAUUUUUAUUAUUCCUUACACUUUGCAAAUGGAGAGUCCCUAAAGGAACAUUGUGAUGGGCUAAUGUUGUGAGCCUGUUGUGAGCAAGGCCUGGACUUACAUGCUGCAGAAGGAAUUCAAUCACACCUGCUCGGUGAUCUGUAAGCCCCAAAGGCUUUAGACCCCUGAAUCUGGGCAUCAUCCCAGCACUGAGAUCCAGUUGCAUUACGCGGACCAGCAGACACAGCACCAGAGCCCAGGCCCGUGCAGCUGCUUCUUCUAAAUUCAACUCUGCGAAAAAUUACUUUCCAGAAAAUAAGUGAAACCUGAUGUCUUCUCCGGGUGGUUAUUUUUGCGCCUAUGAAGUCAAUAAAACUCUCCAGAUUUAUUAGAAAGCCCUGCUGUGGAAGACAAGACCACUUCCUAUUCCCUAGCGGAAAUGUGUGCCUUUCCUUUCUGCAACCUUCUGACCACAGAUUUUAAUUUUAUUCAUUUCUGUUAUU